CUUUGACACUUCCUCUGAUCUCAGAUCAAAUAACCCUUUAACUUAUUCUAAUUCUCAGAUUCUCUCUUCCCCCAAUUGGCGGCAACUGUUUAUUCAUCCCUUCAAUCCCUUAAUUUUGAGAAAUGGAGCGAUGGGCUAUGAGAUGUGUGGUGAUGAUGGCGUUUGUUGGGGUAUUGCUGUUGAAUUUGAGAGAAUCAGAAGGGAUUAGGUUUGUGAUAGACAGGGAAGAAUGUUUCUCUCACAAUGUUCAAUACGAGGGAGAUACUGUCCAUGUUUCUUUUGUUGUAAUCAAGGCAGAUUCACCUUGGCACUAUGGCGAUGAUGGAGUUGAUCUUGUGAUUAAGGGCCCUUCUGGUGAACAUCUUCAUGAUUUCCGUGACAAGACUAGCGAAAAGCAUGAUUUUAUUGCUCACAACAAAGGCCUUCAUCGAUUCUGCUUCACGAACAAGUCUCCGUAUCACGAAACCAUCGACUUUGAUGUGCACGUUGGCCACUUUUCUUACCAUGAGCAGCAUGCAAAAGAUGAGCAUUUCAACCCUUUGCUGGAUCAAAUAUCUAAGUUGGAG
rnacentral:misc_RNA from 1 species